GCCUUGCUAGCUCAAUCGGUAGAGCGUGAGACUCUUAGCAUUAUUUGUCUUCAAAGGCGAAUUGUUAGAGUAUAAUCUCAAGGUUGGGGGUUCGACCCCCCCGUAGGGCU
rfam:Sphaerobolus stellatus SS14 unplaced genomic scaffold SPHSTscaffold_97, whole genome shotgun sequence.